rnacentral:rRNA from 1 species
GAAUAGCUUUUGGAAACGAAAGGUAAUACCGUAUACGCCCUCCGGGGAAAGAUUUAUCGGUGAAAGAUCGGUCCGCGUUAGAUUAGCUAGUUGGUGAGGUAACGGCUCACCAAGGCUACGAUCUAUAGCUGGUCUGAGAGGAUGAUCAGCCACACUGGGACUGAGACACGGCCCAGACUCCUACGGGAGGCAGCAGUGGGGAAUAUUGCACAAUGGGCGCAAGUGAUGCAGCCAUGCCGCGUGAAUGAUGAAGGCCUUAGGGUUGUAAAAUUCUUUCGCCAAGGAUGAUAAUGACAGUACUUGGUAAAGAAGCCCCGGCUAACUUCGUGCCAGCAGCCGCGGUAAUACGAAGGGGGCUAGCGUUGUUCGGAAUUACUGGGCGUAAAGCGCACGUAGGCGGACUUUUAAGUCAGAUGUGAAAUCCCGAGGCUCAACCUCGGAACUGCAUUUGAAACUGGGAGUCUAGAGAU